GUUGCGAUUGGUGGACGGGGAUGAGAAGCCCGCAAUGGGCUACAUAUAUGAUGUGAUGGAGAGGGCGAAAAAUAAGAUCAUGGACCAUUUUAACUAUAGAGACCGUGAUUACAGGCCAAUUUUAGAUAUUAUAGAUAAAAGAUGGGGCAGCUAAAUAUCAUCCCCAUUAUAUUCGGCUGCUUACAUCCUUAACCCAGCGUGUUUAUUCACUUCUGAUGAUCCAGCAGAAGGACUAACUAUGCAUAUGGUUGGAUUUAUUGAUGUCUUGGAAAGAAUGAUUCCAGAUAGAGGAGAACAGGACAAGAUCUCAACUUUGCUGGACUUCUACACAAAAAGUGAAGGGAUAUCGUAAGAAGACAUCGGAUAAUGAAAUUACCCACUGACUAGUGGGCUGCCUAUGGAGUGGACCCGAACAGGAAGGAUCCAGCUCUAAAGAAGCUGGCUAUGAAGAUUCUUGGACUCACGUGUUCUGUCAGUGGUUGCGAGCGCAAUUGAAGCACUUUCGAGUCGAUUCAUACCAAGAAAAGGAAUCGCCUUGAGCAAAAAAAGCUCAAUGACUUGGUUUUCGUUCAAUACAAUCAAAAAUUGCGAGAACGAUUCCAAAGUAGGAAAGAAAA